AUAUAUGUGAUGUAACCUCAUUA
rnacentral:siRNA from 1 species